UUUUGGUACCAUAUAAGCAGA
ensembl:piRNA 21ur-5727 ncRNA